rnacentral:rRNA from 2 species
UGGAUCCAGACUUUGAUUCUGGCUCAGGAUGAACGCUAGCUACAGGCUUAACACAUGCAAGUCGAGGGGCAGCAUGACGAUAGCUUGCUAUCGUUGAUGGCGACCGGCGCACGGGUGAGUAACGCGUAUCCAACCUGCCCUUGUCCAUCGGAUAACCCGUCGAAAGGCGGCCUAACACGAUAUGCAGUUCUCCGCAGGCAUCUAACGAGAACGAAAUGUGAAGGAGAAGGAUGGGGAUGCGUCUGAUUAGCUUGUUGGCGGGGUAACGGCCCACCAAGGCGACGAUCAGUAGGGGUUCUGAGAGGAAGGUCCCCCACAUUGGAACUGAGACACGGUCCAAACUCCUACGGGAGGCAGCAGUGAGGAAUAUUGGUCAAUGGGCGAGAGCCUGAACCAGCCAAGUAGCGUGCAGGAAGACGGCCCUAUGGGUUGUAAACUGCUUUUAUGCGGGGAUAAAGUGAGCCACGUGUGGCUUAUUGCAGGUACCGCAUGAAUAAGGACCGGCUAAUUCCGUGCCAGCAGCCGCGGUAAUACGGAAGGUCCGGGCGUUAUCCGGAUUUAUUGGGUUUAAAGGGAGCGUAGGCCGUCUGGUAAGCGUGUUGUGAAAUGUCGGGGCUCAACCUGGGCGUUGCAGCGCGAACUGUCAGGCUUGAGUGCGCGGGAAGUAGGCGGAAUUCGUCGUGUAGCGGUGAAAUGCUUAGAUAUGACGAAGAACUCCGAUUGCGAAGGCAGCCUGCUGUAGCGCAACUGACGCUGAAGCUCGAAAGCGUGGGUAUCGAACAGGAUUAGAUACCCUGGUAGUCCACGCGGUAAACGAUGGAUGCUCGCUGUUUGCGUCUGACGUAAGCGGCCAAGCGAAAGCGUUAAGCAUCCCACCUGGGGAGUACGCCGGCAACGGUGCAACUCAAAGGAAUUGACGGA